AUGUUUGGCCGGUCCAGUCCUCCUCUACGGAGAAAAGGAAGUACACAUGUGCGCCUCGGCUUGACGGCCCACGUACGGAAAUCCGUGCUGCACCAAGUACGGAUCUAUGUACGCGCUUUAUUUCGUUUCGUUCCCAUUCUUCAUUUCCUUAUUAUCGAAUCCAUGGGGGACUUGUCAUAUUUAGAAUCUUUCUGCGGUCUGCUCUAUUUAAAAUUCUUUCGUACUCUCUUCUCUUUACCAUGCGAUAGGUCAGCGAAGCGUGAGCGGGCGCUCCGAAGUAAAGGCCAAACACCUCGGCCUAAGGGGAAUGACCAACAAAAUGACAAGAUGAAGUGCCCCGGGCACCCCCAUAUAGAAAGAAGGGUCGAAGGUUUUGGGGCUUCCCUCCCUCCUCCCCCCUCGUCGAGUGGUGCUUGUUUGGGGGGUGUGCCACCAGAAAGCGGGCUUGAAGCUCUCGCCUUACCAACGAGCCGACUGCUCAUGGCUGUUGGUCACGACUACUACAAAAAAGUGAACAUGAAUCUUUCUAUUUCACAUGGAGGAGUGUGUAUGUCAAACGGAUUUACACGGGCCAUGAAUCAAACUUUUCUUUCAUGA
rnacentral:rRNA from 1 species